rnacentral:rRNA from 1 species
CCUACGGGAGGCAGCAGCUAAGAAUAGUCCGCAAUGGGGGAAACCCUGGCGGUGCGACGCCGCGUGAACGAUGAAGGCCUGACGGUUGUAAAGUUCUCUUCUCGACGAAGAAUAAGGACAGGAGUGGAACGCCUGUCCGAUGACGUUAAUCGAGGAAUAAGCCCCGGCUAAUUACGUGCCAGCAGCCGCGGUAAUACGUAUGGGGCGAGCGUUGUUCGGAAUUAUUGGGCGUAAAGGGCGCGUAGGCGGUUUCGUAAGCUUGGUGUGAAAGGCUCCGGCCCAACCGGAGUUGUGCGCUGGGAACUGCGCGACUAGAGUUCUGGAGGGGAAGUUGGAAUUCCUGGUGUAGGGGUGAAAUCUGUAGAUAUCAGGAAGAACACCGGUGGCGAAGGCGAGCUUCUGGCCAGAAACUGACGCUGAGGCGCGAAAGCGUGGGGAGCGAACAGGAUUAGAUACCCUGGUAGUCCACGCCGUAAACGAUGUGCACUAGGCGUAGGGUCCGUUAGGGCUCUGUGCCGUAGCUAACGUGUUAAGUGCACCGCCUGGGGAGUAUGCUCGCAAGAGUGAAACUCAAAGGAAUUGACGG